CAGCCGUAAACUAUGCGCGUUAGGUGUAUCGGUGACCACGAGUUACCGCGGUGCCGAAGGGAAACCGUGAAACGUGCCGCCUGGGAAGUACGGUCGCAAGGCUGAAACUUAAAGGAAUUGGCGGGGGAGCGCCGCAACGGGAGGAGCGUGCGGUUUAAUUGGAUUCAACGCCGAAAACUACNCCAGCAGCGACUGUUACAUGAAAGUCAGGUUGAUGACCUUACUAGAUUUCAGAGAGGAGGUGCAUGGCGUCAGUGACU
rnacentral:rRNA from 1 species